rnacentral:rRNA from 1 species
AUGUCGUCGUCGUGGGUGGUGGAUGUCGACUACCUUGAGCCGCAGGCGAACGUGAAGGGAUGGGUGGUGGACAUGGAGAAGAAGCUCGAGGACGCAGAGCCGCCGGCAAAGGUGCAGAGAUGGCCGAAGCACUGCAUCUUCCGCGUCCCAUUGCGCUUCACGAGCAAGAUGGUGGAUGGAAUGGCGAGCAGCGUAUUCAAGCCGCAGACAGUGUCUCUCGGCCCAUUCCACCACGACGACAAGGACCUGAAACCCAUGGAGGAGCACAAGCUGAGGGCCGUCCGUCACCUCCUCCGUCGGGACAGCAAACUGACCCUUGGCGGGCUUGUCGCCGCCAUGGAGACGGUGGCCGACGAGCUGGAGGACGCCUAUAUGGACCUGGGUGACGAAUGGCGGGGCGAGGAGAACAGGGGCAAGUUCCUUGAGAUGAUGAUCACAGACGGCUGCUUCCUGCUGGAGGUGAUGAGGAUGGCCAUAUGCAUAGGGGGGAAGGGCUCCAUUCCCAAGGACUACGAGCAUGGUGACCCCGUCUUCAGCUGGCACGGCAUCCAGCACAUCGGACCAUUUGUCCAGCGCGACAUGCUCCUGGUCGAGAACCAGUUGCCACUGAGGUUGCUCGAGAAGAUCGUCGCAGUGGAGGAAGGGACAUCUCCGAGCGUGGCUUCGAUAAACUCCAUGGUGCUCAAGUUCCUGGAAAGGGAAGAUGCCCCGGAAGGGACCGGCCUGGGACUCCACCCGCUCGACAUCUACCGGACAAGCCGGCUCAAGGGCACAAGUCAGGUCAAGAAUAACGGCAAGGGUCUUCAAAGAGGCGUGAAUAUGACGUCGGCGCCAACGGAGGUCGGCAUCUUUCGUUCGCAGAAAGUGGUUCCCCGAUCCGCAUGGAAGCUGUCGGAGGCAGGAAUCCGAUUCCUGCCCAGCAAGACAGGCUGCCUCGACGACAUCCAGCUGGACAAUGGGAGGCUCUACAUGCCCAAGGUCCAUAUGGACGACUCCACCGCCUACAGGAUCCACAACAUGAUGGCGUUCGAGGCGAUGCACGUUCGCACUGGGAACGACGUGACGGCGUACGUGUUGUUCGUCAAGGACCUCAUCAGCUCUGCCGACGACGUGCGCCUGCUAGGGAGGAAGGGGAUCCUGGAGCAUGACCUUGCCGAUGACGACGACGCUGUGGUGAGACUCUUCAACAGCCUCACCAGAGAUGUGUCCAAGAAUUGGGAGAGUCAUCUGUGCCGCGUGCGUGACGCCGUGGAGCACCACUACACCAGCAACCAUCUACGUGUCAUCCUCUAUGAGUCGUGGUCACACCUCAAGAGCAAGUACUUCAGGAACCCGUGGUCGCUCCUCGCCCUUGUCACUGCAAUCUUGCUCGUCGUCGGAGACAUCGUGCAGGCUGUGUAUGCAGUCAUAUCGUAUGAUCCUAACGAGGGCAAGCCCAAAAUACAUUAA